rnacentral:rRNA from 1 species
GGGGGGGGGGGGGGGGGGGGGGGGGGGGGGGGGGGGGGGGGGGGGGGGGGGGGGGGGGGGGGGUGGGCGGGGGGCGAGCGGGGGAGUAACACGGGAGUAACCUGCCCGUGACUUUGGGAUAACUUCAGGAAACUGGGGCUAAUACCGGAUAGGAGCUCCUGCUGCAUGGUGGGGGGUGGAAAGUUUCGGCGGUUGGGGAUGGACUCGCGGCUUAUCAGCUUGUUGGUGGGGUAGUGGCUUACCAAGGCUUUGACGGGUAGCCGGCCUGAGAGGGUGACCGGCCACAUUGGGACUGAGAUACGGCCCAGACUCCUACGGGAGGCAGCAGUGGGGAAUAUUGCACAAUGGGCGGAAGCCUGAUGCAGCAACGCCGCGUGCGGGAUGACGGCCUUCGGGUUGUAAACCGCUUUCGCCUGUGACGAAGCGUGAGUGACGGUAAUGGGUAAAGAAGCACCGGCUAACUACGUG